CACGUUAUGGUAGGGCGACUCUAAGGAGACUGCCGGUGACAAACCGGAGGAAGGUGGGGAUGACGUCAAGUCAUCAUGGCCCUUACGGCCUGGGCUACACACGUGCUACAAUGGUCGGUACAAAGGGUUGCCAAGCCGCGAGGUGGAGCUAAUCCCAUAAAACCGAUCGUAGUCCGGAUCGCAGUCUGCAACUCGACUGCGUGAAGUCGGAAUCGCUAGUAAUCGUGAAUCAGAAUGUCACGGUGAAUACGUUCCCGGGCCUU
rnacentral:rRNA from 1 species